UACGUAGGGUGCAAGCGUUUGUCCGGAAUUAUUGGGCGUAAAGAGCUCGUAGGCGGUCUGUCGCGUCUGCUGUGAAAACUCGGGGCUUAACCCCGGGCCUGCAGUGGGUACGGGCAGACUAGAGUGCGGUAGGGGAGACUGGAAUUCCUGGUGUAGCGGUGAAAUGCGCAGAUAUCAGGAGGAACACCGGUGGCGAAGGCGGGUCUCUGGGCCGUAACUGACGCUGAGGAGCGAAAGCAUGGGGAGCGAACAGG
rnacentral:rRNA from 1 species